GUGUACAAAAAAAAAAAAAUUGUGUGCGUGUAUGAGUGAGCGAGUGAGAGAGAGAGAGAUCCUAUUAGGUGUAAGAGCCAUUUGUUUUGACACCGUGAAGAAUUCCGCUGGGGUUUUAAGUGGAGGACUUGGAAACCUCUGUCUAAUGAGUUCUAAAGUGAAUGUCAUCAAACAUCUCACGGCCCGAGCCCUGAGGGAAUUCAUUAGAACUGCAACCCAACUGGUUUGACGGCAUGGAAAAACAAACGCACACACAUUUUGACUCUCUAUAAACCUUUACACUUUCUACCAUUUUGUAUUUGGGCCAAGUGUGGAGAGCGCCACCAGAGCCAGUCUGGAUAAUACAUAUUUUAAAAAAUAUUUUGUCCCAUGAACUCUGGCAAGCAACAAGUGACGGAACAAUUUGAUAUCCAUGGGGGGUAGAAGUAAUUGCAACCCCCCCCCCCCAAAAAAAAAUGCUGUACUGCGAUUUUCUAUUGAUGCCACAAAAUGGUGGCAAAUGACUACUUUUCUCUAAAAGUAAGAUCAACUCACUUCAUACUAAUUAAUGUGGGGACGUGUGCACAAAUCGCAUAUACAAUAUUUUUUUCAGCAAGUAGCGAAAAACUGAU